rnacentral:lncRNA from 10 species
CAGCAUGAAGAUUUGCAUUUUUGAAGCCAAAUGGUGAGACUCUGGUCUGAGAACUCUCUAACCAAGAUAUCCACCUGAUUCCAAAGCAUUCGGAGGCCCUGAGAAAAGCAAUUCCCAGAAUCCACUGAUGCUUAGCAAUGCUUCAACUCCACCUUUGGGUUUCAUAUCCCCAGUGUCAAAGCUUCUCCUCAAAAGGGUCCCUUUGGCCCUCAUUCUGGCAGAGCCCCCUUGAUGGUGGUCUCACAGCUACAUGUGUUCCGUGCUUGCAGCAGGGUGCUCCAGGGAAUGUGACAUGGUGAUGACUGCUGUUUCUAAUUACUGCCCUAUCAGGAGGCAGAGGAAGGAGCCAGCCUGGUGGGCCACUGAGGAAACGCUGACGUUCCUGAUUGUCGGGUAGCUGGGGCUGGUAGGGCCUGGCUGAUGCCUGCCUGGUCACUUGGGAGUGAGGACUUGCCUUUCCCCAAACAAACUCAACAUCUGAAUGAUUGACAAGGGCACAGCAAUCAAUAAGUCCUUAUUUCCUGAGCACCUAGUGUGCUCCUGGUUUUGUGCUAAGCACAGGGGCUGGGGACACAGAUGCAAGCAGUAGCAACACACAGCGCCAUCCUUUGGGAAACUUACAUUAUAGCUGGGGGCGAGGGCAAAAUAAA